AGUGAACGCUGGCGGUAGGCCUAACACAUGCAAGUCGAACGGCAGCACAGUAAGAGCUUGCUCUUACGGGUGGCGAGUGGCGGACGGGUGAGGAAUACAUCGGAAUCUACUUUUUCGUGGGGGAUAACGUAGGGAAACUUACGCUAAUACCGCAUACGACCUACGGGUGAAAGCAGGGGAUCUUCGGACCUUGCGCGAUUGAAUGAGCCGAUGUCGGAUUAGCUAGUUGGCGGGGUAAAGGCCCACCAAGGCGACGAUCCGUAGCUGGUCUGAGAGGAUGUCAGGCCAAACUGAAACUGAGCACGGGCCAAGCCUCCUAGGGGAGGAACCGGUGGGAAAUUUUGGACAAGGGGCGAAAGCCUGAUCCAGCCAUACGGCGUGGGUGAAGAAGGCCUUCGGGUUGUAAAGCCCUUUGGUGGGGAAAGAAAAGCAGCAGGUUAAUCCCCCGCUGUCUUGCCGUUCCCAAAAGAAUAAGAACCGGCUAAUUUCGU
rnacentral:rRNA from 1 species